ACAUCAAGAGAAAAUCCCCAAAAAGUAUGUUUGACGAUGUCAUAUCGUUACGCUCAUACAUUUAUAUGGAAUAAAUGGGGCUGUCCUUUUUGCUUAAAAAAUACUAUCAUCAUGAGUAACAUUUUUUGCACCUAACCAAACGGUGCUAUGUCAAUUUAAAUGUGGGGGAAAAUGACUUCCUUUUACUUAAUCCUUAUUUAAUACAUGCAAUGAAAUCGAGUGGACCCAAAGACAAAAAAAUUUACAUACUAACAUUAAAUUCCCACACGAAUCGAAUAUCUCAUUUAACAAAGUUGUGUGACUAUUUAGUUUUGUUGUCGUAUGCAAUUCACUUGUAUUUUUUUGUCUUGUAUAAUAACGUUCUACAAGUAUUACGUUAAAACUUUUAUUUUGCAUAAAUUGUUUUCCAUAAAAGAGUCCUCCUUUCUGCCUUUACACAUAUAGUGAAAUAGAACAAAAAUAUAUGUCAUUGAAUUCCCUACAUAUUUUUUUCAAUUAAAAAAUGUGUUAGGAUGGUCUUAGGACCAUCGUGGUUAGGACUAUCCUAAGAUAGCUUUGUUUUACAUCCUAAGACAUGUCUCAGACACGUCCUAAGACCAUCCUAAAUAAUGUCCUAAGACAUAUCUUAGGACAUAUCCUAGGAUACUU
rnacentral:lncRNA from 1 species